rnacentral:hammerhead_ribozyme from 1 species
GUACUGAUGAAGAGUCUCAAACUAGGACAAAACGGCUGUCCAGUAC